AGAUUGAACGCUGGCGGCAGGCCUAACACAUGCAAGUCGAGCGGCAGCACGGGUACUUGUACCUGGUGGCGAGCGGCGGACGGGUGAGUAAUGCCUAGGAAUCUGCCUGGUAGUGGGGGAUAACGCUCGGAAACGGACGCUAAUACCGCAUACGUCCUACGGGAGAAAGCGGGGGACCUUCGGGCCUCGCGCGAAACGAUGAGCCUGCGUCCUAUCAGGUAGUUGGUGAGGUAAUGGCUCACCAAGCCGACGACGGGUAGCUGGUCUGAGAGGACGACCAGCCACACUGGGACUGAGACACGGCCCAGACUCCUACGGGAGGCAGCAGUGGGAAUAUUGGACAAUGGGGGAAACCCUGAUCCAGCAAUACCGCGUGUGUGAAGAAGGCCUCGGUUGUAAAGCGACUUUUAGCAGGAAAGAAGACUAUGACGCUAAUACCGCACUGUUUUGACGUUACUUGCAGAAAAGCACGACUAACUCCGUGCCAGCAAGCCGCGGUAAU
rnacentral:rRNA from 1 species